GGCGCGGUAGCCAAGUGGUAAGGCCGAGGUCUGCAAAACCUCCAUGCGUCGGUUCGAUUCCGACCCGCGCCUCCA
rnacentral:tRNA from 1 species